rnacentral:rRNA from 1 species
GACGAACGCUGGCGGCGUGCUUAACACAUGCAAGUCGAACGGAAAGACCCUGCUUUUGUGGGGUGCUCGAGUGGCGAACGGGUGAGUAACACGUGAGUAACCUGCCCUUGACUUUGGGAUAACUUCAGGAAACUGGGGCUAAUACCGGAUAGGAGCUCCUGCUGCAUGGUGGGGGUUGGAAAGUUUCGGCGGUUGGGGAUGGACUCGCGGCUUAUCAGCUUGUUGGUGGGGUAGUGGCUUACCAAGGCUUUGACGGGUAGCCGGCCUGAGAGGGUGACCGGCCACAUUGGGACUGAGAUACAGCCCAGACUCCUACGGGAGGCAGCAGUGGGGAAUAUUGCACAAUGGGCGGAAGCCUGAUGCAGCAACGCCGCGUGCGGGAUGACGACCUUCGGGUUGUAAACCGCUUUCGCCUGUGACGAAGCGUGAGUGACGGUAAUGGGUAAAGAAGCACCGGCUAACUACGUG